UACAGAGGGUGCGAGCGUUGUUCGGAAUUACUGGGCGUAAAGCGCACGUAGGCGGCUUGGUAUGUCGGGUGUGAAAUCCCCGGGCUCAACCUGGGAACUGCACCCGAAACUGCCUUGCUCGAGUAUGGGAGAGGGAAGUGGAAUUUCCGGUGUAGCGGUGAAAUGCGUAGAUAUCGGAAGGAACAUCAGUGGCGAAGGCGACUUCCUGGACCAAUACUGACGCUCAGGUGCGAAAGCGUGGGGAGCAAACAGG
rnacentral:rRNA from 1 species